rnacentral:rRNA from 1 species
CACGUAGGGCGCAAGCGUUGUCCGGAAUUAUUGGGCGUAAAGAGCUCGUAGGCGGUCUGUUGCGUCCGCUGUGAAAACUCGGGGCUUAACCCCGAGCCUGCAGUGGAUACGGGCAGACUAGAGGUAGGUAGGGGAGAAUGGAAUUCCCGGUGUAGCGGUGAAAUGCGCAGAUAUCGGGAGGAACACCCGAGGCGAAGGCGGCUCUCUGGGUCGUACCUGACGCUGAGGCGCGAAAGCGUGGGGAGCGAACAGG